AGGAACUACCGCAGUGGCGGGGCCAGCUCUGCAGCCCUGGAGUCAGCUCCCGCAGUAACUCCGGAGCUCUCCGUCUGCAGGGCCUGGAGGCUCUGGGGCGGG
rnacentral:pre_miRNA from 1 species